rnacentral:rRNA from 1 species
GACGAACGCUGGCGGCGUGCUUAACACAUGCAAGUCGAACGGAGAACUUUCUUCGGAAUGUUCUUAGUGGCGAACGGGUGAGUAACGCGUAGGCAACCUGCCCUCUGGUUGGGGACAACAUUCCGAAAGGGAUGCUAAUACCGAAUGAGAUCCUCUUUCCGCAUGGAGAGAGGAUGAAAGAUGGCCUCUACUUGUAAGCUAUCGCCAGAAGAUGGGCCUGCGUCUGAUUAGCUUGUAGGUGGGGUAACGGCUCACCUAGGCGAUGAUCAGUAGCCGGUCUGAGAGGAUGAACGGCCACAUUGGGACUGAGACACGGCCCAAACUCCUACGGAGGCAGCAGUGGGGAAUAUUGGGCAAUGGGCGCAAGCCUGACCCAGCAACGCCCGCGUGAAGGAAGAAGGGACUUUCGGGUUGGUAAACUUCUUUUGUCAGGGACGAGUAGAAGAGGUACCUGACGAAUAAGCCACGGCUAACUACGUGCCAGCAGCCG